UAUUUGUUUACUUUUAAGCAUAUAAUUUAUUUCUAAUCUUACAUAUCUGGUAUUGAUUCACUUGUUUUAUUGAAUAAAGCUUUUUUUCCCCUGCUGCCUUAGAAAGCAUUUAGUUCUUAUUAAGAAAGUCAUUUGCACUGUGAAGACCAAACAAAUUAUUUUCCUUCCCUUUGAUCCUAGAGACAAGAAAGCUUUACAUUAUCAUCAUGCUGUGUAGUUCACCAUUGACUUUACUUUGGCUUUGACAAAUGAUACCCAGAGCUGCUGUUCUGGAGUUCAUAUUCAGCCCUUAACAGUUAACCCAGUUUCUGUUCAGAACUUUUUUUUUCUUUCUAGCGUACAGAAUGCCGUUUCUCCUACAGCAUUGCUGUCUGGCUUUAGUUCCUGGUGAUUUUAUCUUCAAAAAAGUUUGUUGCUGAAGUGUGGAAUAGUUCCUUUUGUCCUAUAUUUCUUCAAAUUACAAGCUUUGAAAUUGCUGCUAGACAUUUUGGAUGUUUUUCUCUGGUGGGCAGUGUGGCCAUGUUGGCAGACCUGAAGAACUUUUACUGAUGUUGAAGGUAGCCCUUGUCAUCAUUUUUCUUCAUGUCACUCUGGUUACAUCCCUGGAAGGUAUGAUGAGGUCACUUCUGUUGGGUCCUGACUCUUUCCCUGGUA
rnacentral:lncRNA from 1 species